UUAAUACUCCCUCCGUCCGAAAAUACUUGUCAUCAAAAUGGAUAAAAGGAAAUGUAUCUAGAUGUAUUUUAGUUUUAGAUACAUCUCUUUUUAUCUAUUUUGAUGACAAGUAUUUUUGGACGGAGGGAGUAGUAG
rnacentral:pre_miRNA from 1 species